UACGUAGGGACCAAGCGUUGUUCGGAUUUACUGGGCGUAAAGGGCGCGUAGGCGGCAAUUCAAGUCAUCUGUGAAAUCUCCGGGCUUAACUCGGAACGGUCAGAUGAUACUGCUUUGCUAGAGUGCGGAAGGGGCAAUCGGAAUUCUUGGUGUAGCGGUGAAAUGCGUAGAUAUCAAGAGGAACACCUGAGGUGAAGACGGGUUGCUGGGCCGACACUGACGCUGAGUGCGCGAAAGCCAGGGGAGCGAAUGGG
rnacentral:rRNA from 1 species